rnacentral:tRNA from 1 species
UAGCUCAGUUGGCAGAGCGCUUGACUUCUAAUCAAGUGGUCAGGGGUUCAAUUCCCCU